GUCGCUUUUCGGCCUUUUGGCUAAGAUCAAAUGUAUUAUCUGUUCUUAUCAGUUUAAUAUAUGAUACGUCCUCAAUUUGGGGACCAUAUAUUAAAUUGAUUUUUGGAAUAAGGUGAAUGAAUAGGGUCUUGCUCCGUCAACUCCACGCAUUGACCUCAUUUUCCAGUGUUUCCGCGAUGGGUGCACUUUCU